GGAUGUGAGGGCAAUCUCAAUCUGGCUGCAACAUCUGUCACCCCAUUGAUCGCCAGGGUUGAUUCGGCUGACCUGAUGUCUCCUUCCUCCCUCACUGCUCCAUGUGCCUCCGUCCCAUCUGAAGCUGUGCGCUUGCCCAAAUAGAGACAGACCUUUAGUCAAGGGUGUAACAAGCAGCUGCGCUCCCCUGCUAGAACCUCCAAACAAGCUCUCAAGGAAAAAAAUAUUUUUUGAGAAUAAUGAUGCAUCCAUAAAAAAGUUUUAAUCCAAAAAAAAAAAAAAAAGUAAACUCAUCUUAUUU
rnacentral:snRNA from 1 species